GACAGAGGGUGCAAACGUUGUUCGGAAUUACUGGGCGUAAAGCGUGUGUAGGCAGUGAGGUAAGUCGGAUGUGAAAGCCCAGGGCUCAACCCUGGAAGUGCACUCGAUACUGCUUCGCUUGAGUACUGGAGAGGUUGGUGGAAUUCUCGGUGUAGAGGUGAAAUUCGUAGAUAUCGAGAGGAACAUCUGUGGCGAAGGCGGCCAACUGGACAGAUACUGACGCUGAGACACGAAAGUGCGGGGAGCAAACAGG
rnacentral:rRNA from 1 species